CACUACAGCCAUGCCACCCUGAACAAGCCGGAUCCUGUCUGAUCUCGGAAGCUAAGCAGGGUCGGGUCCGGUUAGUACUUGGAUGGGAGACCACCCAGGAAGACCAGGUGCUAUAGGUG
rnacentral:rRNA from 1 species